CGGCUUUUUUUUGUUAACUUUAGAAGUUUUUUCACUUGUAUUGCUUAAUGAUAUGUUCUUUUCAUUUUUAUUUUUGAUCUCUUUAUGCACAUCAUUGUCCAUUCAUCAUUGAUCAAUAUAUUCUUGGGUGACAAUGUCAACAAAAUCCUACAUUUCAUUUUUUUAGAUACAAUUGUGAGAUAUUCACUUGUAAACUCUUUCGCAAUUACAAAAAACUUGUGAGGAAUUAAAUGCAUGAAACAAUAAAAACCUACAAGUAUUUACAAGUUACAUAAUCAUCCCUUUUUUUUUUCUAUGUUUUUAAAAUUGUGCAAUUGCAAAAUAAGAAUUUCUUUGAAAACUAUGACAAAAGUUUUACAAUAAUGAGAUUUUAAUGCAAAUUGCAUUGUUUAUGAGCUUCCAAUAGUAAGAAAAAAACACUUGUUGUAAUGUUUUACAAGAAAUCCAACACAUCAAUUUUAUAACAAGUCAAGCAAAGCCAAAACUAUUCUUGCCUUCACCUCACACAUGUUCACAAAAUGAACAAACUUCCUUCUUAUUAUACUUUUGUAAUUUUUUUGUCUUAGGUCCACCAACACCAAGUAGAAGAUGAAUAAAGAAAAAUAAAACCUUCGUUAAAAAAACAUUGUACCCACAUAUCACUUCGUUAAAAAAACAGAGUUGCAAAGUUUCAAUUUCAAUUAUGUAGUUCUCUCAGCAAGAAGACAUAAAAACAGCAUAAAGAAAUGACUUUACUGUAAAUGCACCCUCGUUUUUCUAUACAAAUCUUUGUGAUUCAUUUGUUUUGUUUUCAUUAUUUUUUUUGUAAAAUUUUGUUUUUAGCAGACCAGGGAAGUUAUUAAUCCAACAAGGACCAUCGCUCAUGAAGCAUUGCAGCUGGAUCCAAAACCAUGUCACCCAGUAUUAUUAAAGCUUAUUUCCACCUUCACUUGAAGCUCUUGCAUCUGCCGGGUUCUUGACAAAAUCCAUGGCGCCGACAGCUUCCAGCUAUUCCAGCUCUGUGGGUCCACAGGCUUUGCCGAUCUCAUUUUCUAAGAACUCAAAUUGUUGUGAGCGACUUCGAUUUUGUGGCGUCCUGACAGAAUAAAUGCAAUCAAAUUAUAAGGAUAUUUCCUCCUCACAACGGAGAUUGUCAAAUCUGAAAGAAUAUUCCAAACGAAUUCUUGGCACACUUAAAAAACCUGCAACCUUCGGAACUCUUCAAUCAGUUAGAGCAGACACAUUCGGAAUUGGUCCGGUUAUGGUGUGAUGGUGUUGCAUCAACUUGGGCAGCACUGCAGGACGGGAAUUUUCCUUCACACUUGCAACGAGAUUAGCUUUGUGAU